rnacentral:lncRNA from 1 species
AUAAAAUAAAAUCACACAAAAUAAUUAGCUCCCCUUACCUGGGUUCUCACAGUACAACUAACUAAAGACCUCGACAGUACCUCUCACAGCAACAGGAGCUCUACCCAACCCUACAAGCCACCAAUUUGGUGUAGCGUACAGCUCUUAAAGCUAGAAGGUACAAAGAAACGAAAGGAAAAACAUACGAGGCACAUGAAAACAGCAAAGUGACAUGUCUUAACUCAAGAACAGUGAAGAGAAAAAGGAAAAAUGACUUACCAGUCGGAAUGGAGAAAUGUUCAACUUGAAUAGAAGCUCUCUAUGCCAGGAAUGAUUUGGUAGCACCAAAUCAAAAUUUUAACAGUUUAAGGUUCUAGAAAUGUAGAGAGAAGGUAAAGGAUUUU